AUUGAACGCUGGCGGCAUGCUUUACACAUGCAAGUCGAACGGUAACAGGCCUUCGGGUGCUGACGAGUGGCGAACGGGUGAGUAAUGCAUCGGAACGUGCCCAAUCGUGGGGGAUAACGUAGCGAAAGUUACGCUAAUACCGCAUAAGCCCUGAGGGGGAAAGCAGGGGAUCGCAAGACCUUGCGCGAAUGGAGCGGCCGAUGUCAGAUUAGCUAGUUGGUGGGGUAAAAGGCCUACCAAGGCGACGAUCUGUAGCGGGUCUGAGAGGAUGAUCCGCCACACUGGGACUGAGACACGGCCCAGACUCCUACGGGAGGCAGCCAGUGGGGAAUUUUGGACAAUGGGCGCAAGCCUGAUCCAGCCAUGCCGCGUGCGGGACG
rnacentral:rRNA from 1 species